UCCCCUUCGGACUGCUCACAAGGGCUCUUC
rnacentral:piRNA from 1 species